UCAGGACGAACGCUGGCGGCGUGCUUAACACAUGCAAGUCGAACGGAAAGGUCUCUUCGGAGAUACUCGAGUGGCGAACGGGUGAGUAACACGUGGGUAAUCUGCCCUGCACUUCGGGAUAAGCCUGGGAAACUGGGUCUAAUACCGAAUAGGACCACUUGGCGCAUGCCUUGUGGUGGAAAGCUUUUGCGGUGUGGGAUGGGCCCGCGGCCUAUCAGCUUGUUGGUGGGGUGAUGGCCUACCAAGGCGACGACGGGUAGCCGGCCUGAGAGGGUGUCCGGCCACACUGGGACUGAGAUACGGCCCAGACUCCUACGGGAGGCA
rnacentral:rRNA from 1 species